rnacentral:rRNA from 1 species
UACGUAGGGGGCUAGCGUUGGUCCGGAAUCAUUGGGCGUAAAGCGCGUGUAGGCGGUCCGGUAAGUCCGCUGUGAAAGUCGAGGGCUCAACCCUCGAAUGCCGGUGGAUACUGUCGGGCUUGAGUACGGGAGAGGCGAGUGGAAUUCCUGGUGUAGCGGUGAAAUGCGCAGAUAUCAGGAGGAACACCGAUUGCGAAGGCAGCUCGCUGGAACGUUACUGACGCUGAGACGCGAAAGCGUGGGGAGCAAACAGG